rnacentral:misc_RNA from 1 species
AGGGGCUUGGGAUUGGUAGGGGGGUGUCUUCAUGCUUCCACUGCCUUGCUCAUCUACCCUCCUUCACCCCCCUCCCUCCCCCGUGAAUAGGAUUGCGCUGCUGUUCGCUGUGUUGCAUGAUGCGGUUUGUGUCCCGGCUCUCACGAACAAUCCCGCCCGGAGUUUACCAUACUUGAUCUCUUGCGCGGACCUACGGGUGCCCAGAUGCGUGGCGUGUGGUAGGCGGCGCGUACGUGCGCGCGCUGCAACUGCGCCAAAGGGGUCAUUGUCAAAUUCCUUGCAGCGGCUGGUGCGAGAUGGUAGGAGGGGGAACUUUCUCUCCUCUGCCCUAUCAUCCCUGUUGGUGCCGUGCCAGGACCGUAUGACUCCAAGAGCUGUUUGCCGUUGUGCGUGUGCGCGUGGGUGAGCGAGAGACGACGACGACAACUGAACCUCAUUUGCAAUACACAGUUGGUGAGAGCCUUUCUUUCGAUGAUGAUGCACGAGUUAAUCCAUUCUCUGAGUCUCUGUGUGCGUGUGUAUGUGCGCAGGUGCACUGCCGAACUGCGGCGUGACGGGUGCUAGACAUGCGGGGGCUGCUGUGUCGAGGAGCAUGAGCAGUGUGCAGCCGCAAGCAAAGGAGCACGGGGGGACUCCAAACACCGUCUAUUCCCCUGCGUGAUGGAACUGUGACGAGACGGCAUGUGAUGCAACGCCUCCAACGCUGGACCGCACUGCUUGCUGUUUGCACGGGAAGGGGCGGGUGCUGCGGCAUCGUGUGUGUUGGCGUCUGGCACCUGGCGGUGGCUGGAUCGCCAUGUCACCGCACGGGAGAGCUGCCUAUCGGCAUCGCUCAUCCUUGCAGCGCACACGCCUUUGCCCUCACCCUGCUGCCGAGAUGUGGGGCACUGUGAAGACGGUGGAGAACAAAGCACAGCCAUCGGACACAGGGAGGCUGCGCUCGGUGCCUUCCUGUGAUGAAGUCAGGCCGGCGAGAAUGUCG